UUGUCUAAUAAACUUACAUCUUUCAUUCUUUAUACAGAUUGGUGGACUGUGGUUUGUCAGAGAUCAGCUGUGAUUAUCUGGCAGCAGCCCUGAAGUCUAGCCCCUGCCAUCUGAGACAGCUGGAGCUGAGAGAAAACAAAGAGCUGCAGGAUUCAGGAGUGAAGCAUCUGUGUGGUUUCCUGGAGAGUCCAGGAUGUGGACUUGAAACUCUGAGAUUGUGGGACUGUGGUUUGUCAGAGAUCAGCUGUGAUUAUCUGGCAGCAGCACUGAAGUCCAACCCCUCCCAUCUGAGAGAGCUGGAGCUGAGCUGGAACAAGCUGCAGGAUCCAGGAGUGAAGCAUCUGUGUGGUUUCCUGGAGAGUCCAGGAUGUGGACUUGAAACUCUGAGAUUGUGGGGCUGUGGUUUGUCAGAGAUCAGCUGUGAUUAUCUGGCAGCAGCACUGAAGUCCAACCCCUCCCAUCUGAGAGUGCUGGAGCUGAGCUGGAACAA